rnacentral:miRNA from 1 species
CCUAUUCUUGAUUACU